UACGUAGGGUGCAAGCGUUAAUCGGAAUUACUGGGCGUAAAGCGUGCGCAGGCGGUGAUGUAAGACAGUUGUGAAAUCCCCGGGCUCAACCUGGGAACUGCAUCUGUGACUGCAUUGCUGGAGUGCGGCAGAGGGGGGUGGAAUUCCGCGUGUAGCAGUGAAAUGCGUAGAGAUGCGGAGGAACACCGAUGGCGAAGGCAGCCCCCUGGGCUAGCACUGACGCUCAGGCACGAAAGCGUGGGGAGCAAACAGG
rnacentral:rRNA from 1 species